rnacentral:rRNA from 1 species
AACGUAGGCGGUCCGGUAAGUCGGAUGUGAAAGCCCUCGGCUUAACCGAGGAAGUGCAUUCGAAACUGUCGGACUUGAGUAUGGUAGAGGGUCGCGGAAUUCCCGGUGUAGAGGUGAAAUUCGUAGAUAUCGGGAGGAACACCAGUGGCGAAGGCGGCGACCUGGGCCAAUACUGACGCUGAGGUUCGAAAGCGUGGGGAGCAAACA